rnacentral:rRNA from 1 species
GGUUAAGCGACUAAGCGUACACGGUGGAUGCCCUGGCAGUCAGAGGCGAUGAAGGGCGUACUAAUCUGCGAUAAGCGCCGGUAAGGUGAUAUGAACCGUUAUAACCGGCGAUACCCGAAUGGGGAAACCCAGUGUGAUUCGUCACACUAUCAUUAACUGAAUCCAUAGGUUAAUGAGGCGAACCGGGGGAACUGAAACAUCUAAGUACCCCGAGGAAAAGAAAUCAACCGAGAUUCCCCCAGUAGCGGCGAGCGAACGGGGAGGAGCCCAGAGCCUGAAUCAGCAUGUGUGUUAGUGGAAGCGUCUGGAAAGGCGCGCGAUACAGGGUGACAGCCCCGUACACAAAAGCGCAUGUGCUGUGAGCUCGAUGAGUAGGGCGGGACACGUGGUAUCCUGUCUGAAUAUGGGGGGACCAUCCUCCAAGGCUAAAUACUCCUGACUGACCGAUAGUGAACCAGUACCGUGAGGGAAAGGCGAAAAGAACCCCGGCGAGGGGAGUGAAAAAGAACCUGAAACCGUGUACGUACAAGCAGUGGGAGCACAGGUUUACCUGUGUGACUGCGUACCUUUUGUAUAAUGGGUCAGCGACUUAUAUUCUGUAGCAAGGUUAACCGAAUAGGGGAGCCGGAGGGAAACCGAGUCUUAAU